AGAGUUUGAUUCUGGCUCAGGACGAACGCUGGCGGCGCGCCUAACACAUGCAAGUCGAACGAGAGAGAGGAAGCUUGCUUCCUUAAUCGAGUGGCGAACGGGUGAGUAACGCGUGAGGAACCUGCCUCAAAGAGGGGGACAACAGUUGGAAACGACUGCUAAUACCGCAUAAGCCCACAGCUCGGCAUCGAGCAGAGGGAAAAGGAGUGAUCCGCUUUGAGAUGGCCUCGCGUCCGAUUAGCUAGUUGGUGAGGUAACGGCCCACCAAGGCGACGAUCGGUAGCCGGACUGAGAGGUUGAACGGCCACAUUGGGACUGAGACACGGCCCAGACUCCUACGGGAGGCAGCAGUGGGGAAUAUUGCACAAUGGGGGAAACCCUGAUGCAGCGACGCCGCGUGGAGGAAGAAGGUCUUCGGAUUGUAAACUCCUGUUGUUGAGGAAGAUAAUGACGGUACUCAACAAGGAAGUGACGGCUAACUACGUGCCAGCAGCCGCGGUAAAACGUAGGUCACAAGCGUUGUCCGGAAUUACUGGGUGUAAAGGGAGCGCAGGCGGGAAAGCAAGUUGGAAGUGAAAUCCAUGGGCUCAACCCAUGAACUGCUUUCAAAACUGUUUUUCUUGAGUAGUGCAGAGGUAGGCGGAAUUCCCGGUGUAGCGGUGGAAUGCGUAGAUAUCGGGAGGAACACCAGUGGCGAAGGCGGCCUACUGGGCACCAACUGACGCUGAGGCUCGAAAGUGUGGGUAGCAAACAGGAUUAGAUACCCUGGUAGUCCACACUGUAAACGAUGAUUACUAGGUGUUGGAGGAUUGACCCCUUCAGUGCCGCAGUUAACACAAUAAGUAAUCCACCUGGGGGAGUACGACCGCAAGGUUGAAACUCAAAGGAAUUGACGGGGGCCCGCACAAGCAGUGGAGUAUGUGGUUUAAUUCGACGCAACGCGAAGAACCUUACCAAGUCUUGACAUCCUGCGACGGUGCUGGAAACAGUACUUUCCUUCGGGACGCAGAGACAGGUGGUGCAUGGUUGUCGUCAGCUCGUGUCGUGAGAUGUUGGGUUAAGUCCCGCAACGAGCGCAACCCUUAUGGUCAGUUACUACGCAAGAGGACUCUGGCCAGACUGCCGUUGACAAAACGGAGGAAGGUGGGGAUGACGUCAAAUCAUCAUGCCCUUUAUGACUUGGGCUACACACGUACUACAAUGGCGUUAAACAAAGAGAAGCGAGACCGCGAGGUGGAGCAAAACUCAGAAACAACGUCCCAGUUCGGACUGCAGGCUGCAACUCGCCUGCACGAAGUCGGAAUUGCUAGUAAUCGCAGAUCAGCAUGCUGCGGUGAAUACGUUCCCGGGCCUUGUACACACCGCCCGUCACACCAUGAGAGCCGGGGGGACCCGAAGUCGGUAGUCUAACCGCAAGGAGGACGCCGCCGAAGGUAAAACUGGUGAUUGGGGUGAAGUCGUAACAAGGUAACC
rnacentral:rRNA from 1 species